AUAUCAAUUUCCGGUUCGGCCCAUGACUUGAGGGCAUUAUAGUGAUCGGACAUCUUAAAACCCUAGGUUCCCACCAUGCUGCGCGCUAUAAAUAAGACCCACGCGUUAACCCCUUCCGCGGUCGCCGACUCCUUCGGAGAUGUCGAAACGAGGACGAGGAGGCACCGCUGGAAACAAGUUCCGCAUGUCGCUGGGUCUUCCGGUGGCGGCGACGGUCAACUGUGCCGACAACACAGGGGCCAAGAACCUCUAUAUUAUAUCCGUCAAGGGGAUAAAGGGCCGGCUAAACCGGCUUCCGUCUGCUUGUGUCGGGGAUAUGGUGAUGGCUACCGUCAAGAAGGGUAAGCCGGACUUGAGGAAGAAGGUUAUGCCUGCUGUCAUUGUCAGGCAGCGGAAGCCGUGGCGCAGAAAGGAUGGUGUCUACAUGUACUUUGAAGGAGAUUUUCUGGGUGAGAAUUGUUUCAACAUGCUGGAGCAAACCAAUUAUGUUUGUAAAUUCCUGAGUAAACGUCACAGACAAAGGUAAACCUUUGUAAGUCUCCGAGUGUCGACGGUCCUUCCUGAAAAGGUAAACCUUUGUGGGGAGUUUGUCCAUUUGGAGGUGGUCUCAUAUUCCAUCGCCUGGAAGAGCAGCAUUGUUGCCGUUAUCUCUUGGGACUGGCCAUGAGACAUACAUCUAUCUAAUGAGCUAAGAUCAAGGUGGUAGCAACACUGUGAAUCUUUAUCUAUGUUGACGGAGGAGAUUUUCUGGGGAGUUCCUCCAUUUGGAGGUGGUCUCAUAUUCCAUCGCCUGGAGGAGCAGCAUCGCUGCCAUUACCUCUUGGGACUGGCCAUGAGACAUACAUAUAGCUGUUGAGCUAAGAUAAAGGGAGUUUUUCCAUUUAGGGGUGGUUUCAUAUUCCAUCACCUGGAGCAGCAGCAUUGUUGCUGUUGUCUGGGACUGGUCGUGAGUCACACCUGCUUGUGCACUAGGUUUAUAUUAGCCUUUUUGUUGUGAUAUGUCAGAAGUGUAAUAAUAUGUUAUUUUGUAAUCUGGAUCACAGUCGCCUCUCUCGUAGGUUCAAGUAGUUUGAACUUUGGCCGUCAUCUGAUCCUUUGGAGUUGCUUCUGUUCUGGAAGAGUGGCUUCCACUGGAGUCAUUCUGUAGCGAGAAGCAUAUAUUUAAUUUGGCCAGUGUUAAACAGCAUGAUGUUAUAGAAUAGCAUUAUGUUACCUGUCUCCUGGUAAAUUACUCAUGCAUAGUGAAUUCACUUGGUUGGGAGGAAGAUGAUAAAAUUAGUGGGCUCUUAAUGUUCGUUAUAAUGUUUUUUUAACUCUGGUACAUAUGCAUAUUUUUAUGUUAGUGCCACUUGGUGGAGUCAUGUUGGCUGUCCUUAUAUCGUAUUUUUUUGCUGCUUAGUAUAAUGCUGAAUUAUGGACUCAUAUUAAAAAAAUUGUCUU